GCCAGGAUGGUCUAAUCGGUUAAGGCGUCGCCCCGGUCACGCGAAGGUUGCGGGUUCAAUCGCCGCUCCUGGCC
rnacentral:tRNA from 1 species